AGAUACCGGCCUGGUGCCAAACUGGUUACUGCUGCUUCCUGUGGCCUCCAUGGCUGAGGACUGGCUGGACUGCCCGGCCCUGGGCCCUGGCUGGAAGCGCUGUGAAGUCUUUCGCAAGUCAGGGGCCACCUGUGGACGCUCAGACACCUGUUACCAGAGCCCCACAGGAGACAGGAUCUGAAGCAAAGUUGAGCUGACUCGAUACCUGGGCCCUGCGUGUGAUCUCACCCUCUUCGACUUCAAACAAGGCAUCUUGUGCUAUCCAGCCCCCAAGGCCCAUCCCGUGGCGGUUGCCAGCAAGAAGCGAAAGAAGCAUUCAAGGCUAGCCAAAACCCAGAAACGUCAGGUUGGACCCCCGAGUGGUGAGGUCAGGAAGGAGGCCCCGAAGGAUGAGACCAAGGCUAACACUGACACAGCCCCAGCUUCAUUCCCUGCUCCUGGAUGCUGUGAGAACUGUGGAAUCAGCUUCCCAGGGGAUGGCACCCAAAGGCAGCGGCUCAAAACGUUGUGCAAAGACUGUCGAGCACAGAGAAUUGCCUUCAACCGGGAACAGAGAAUAUUUAAGCGUGUGAGCUCUGGGGAGUGUGCAGCCUGCCAGGUAACAGAAGACUGUGGGGCCUGCUCCACCUGCCUCCUGCAGCUGCCCCAUGAUGUGGCAUCGGGGCUGUUCUGCAAGUGUGAACGGAGACGCUGCCUCCGGAUUGUGGAAAGCAGCCGAGGGUGUGGAGUAUGCCGGGGCUGUCAGACCCAAGAGGAUUGUGGCCUUUGCCCCAUCUGCCUUCGCCCUCCCCGCCCUGGUCUCAGGCACCAGUGGAAAUGUGUCCAGAGACGUUGCCUACGGGGUAAACAUGCCCCCCCAAGGGAGGCUGUGACUCCAAGAUGGCUGCCAGGCGGCGCCCCGGAGCCCAGCCACUGCCUCCACCACCCCCAUCACAGUCCCCAGAGCCCACAGAGCCGCACCCCAGAGCCCUGGCCCCCUCACCACCUGCCGAGUUCAUCUAUUACUGUGUAGACGAGGACGAGCUAAAGCGGCUGCUGCCCAGUGUCUGGUCAGAGUCUGAGGAUGGGGCAGGAUUGCCCCCACCUUACCGUCGUCGAAAGAGGCCCAACUCUGCCCAACGGCACCAUCUUGGCCCUACCUUGAAGCCCACCUUGGCUACACGCACAGCCCAACCAGACCAUACUCAGGCUCCAACGAAGCAGGAAGCAGGUGGUGGCUUUGUGCUGCCCCCGCCUGGCACUGACCUUGUGUUUUUACGGGAGGGUGCAAGCAGUCCUGUGCAGGUGCCGGGCCCUGCUGCAGCUUCCACAGAAGCCCUGUUGCAGGCAGUAGACCCAGGCCUGCCAUCUGUGAAGCAAGAGCCACCUGACCCUGAGGAGGACAAGGAGGAGAACAAGGAUGACUCUGCCUCCAAAUUGGCCCCAGAGGAAGAGGCAGGAGGGGCUGGCACACCCGUGAUCAUGGAGAUUUUCAGCCUGGGUGGAACCCGCUUCUGAGAUACAGCAGCCUGGUUGCCCAGUCUACAGGGCAGGCACUCAGGAAGGGAAGAUGGAUGUAAAGUGUGGGAGACCGAGGACACAGUGGAGCCCACGAGCACGAGCUGGAACCCACGAGGAUGGCCUGGAACCCAUGUCAGUCUCUCACUACCUCCAGCUUCGAUGAUGUGGGUGUCCUGCAGAAGAAGCUGGUGCCCUUCCUCACAGAGUUAAAUAUGCAUCUGGCCCAGGAAUUAGAGAAGCUGAAGGGAUGAUCCUGGGGAAGGUGGAGCAGCUGCAGGCCUGGCUGCAGGCCUGACUACUGCCCGCCCCAGCGAGGUGAUCCAGCAGAUACAUGGCAACGUGUGAACUGCAACAGUGCCUGGUGCCCCAGCACCAACCUUCCAAGUGUAAAAACAAUAUGCUGCUGCUUCACUUCUGCCCUCCGGUUAUCAAGCAAAAUGUCUCUUGUGGCCCAUCUUACUGGAAGAGAGUUCUGGGAAACGUAGCCUCACCAAGGUGACACAUUACAAAGCCACCCUACCAUGAAUCCGCUCCCAAGGGUCUCCCUGCUCACCUGAGGAUAACUCAAUAUAACUAUGUUGCUGAAAAUGCAAAGCUGAAGACCAUGGAUUUCCUGGUGAUUCCAGCAAGUGCAGAGAUUCUAUGAAGCCCACCCAGAAAAAACUUGCUGGUCCUGGCUAUUUUUGUGUCAUUUAUUCAAGUAUUGAGAACCUGGCCUGUGGUAGGCACUGUACUUAAUACUAGGAUACAGAAAUGCAAAAGAUACGGCCCAUGCAAUUUUAUUAAAUGCAUCAAUAUGUAUUACAAAUGGUGAAUGGAUUUCCAAAUUUAUCAUGGAAUUUAAUGCUGAAUAUAUAGAAUUCAGAAAAAAAA